CUUCCUGAUAGUUUCCACAAACUGUGUUUCAGUUACUCAGUUUUAAAACUAAUUGUCUAUUUGCUUUUAAGAGUCAAAUCUUGAGAUGUUUGUCCAGGACAAAAUACUAUGUGCUGAUGGUAUGGCUUGAGACGAUGACAAAUUUCUGAAAUCAUUGUACUGAUAUUACCGUAAUGCUUGAAAUAUGCGGCUAAAAUGACGAAGUCCUUGUAAGCAAAAAUGUGAGCAUCUAAUGUAAACCACUUGCUUCAGACACUGCUAUCUGCUCUACGUGCAUCUCAGGAAAAAAGCAGUCUGCUGGUAACAGUAAUAUAAUAUACAGAUGUCUGGAUUAAUUGCUGACUGCAGUUAACAGGAGAACUAGUUGAACCGCUGUGAAGGUGCAGCUGUACCAGCCACCACCAUCCUCAGCAGUUUGUGAAGUUCCUGUGCCUCCUACUAAAGACUGAAGAUACCUACGAGCUUCUGCCUAAAGGCAAGAAGCAAGUCACUUAUGUUCUUAUGAACUCCAACAUAUACCUGAGUAUAAAUUAGGUAUUCUGUUUUCUUUGUGGGGUUUUAUGAAAUGAUUAUGGCCCUGUAAACAUAUUUUUUGUUUUGCUUUGGGCCAGCUCUGUCGGCUGAUAGAAACAUUCUAGCUCCUUCCUUUUAGGAACUCUAAUGCUAU